GCGCCGCGUUGUACUGUAACGAAGGUUGCUAACAAGUUCUUGGAUUGUUCUUGGAUUGGAUUGAUAAGAGAAAGAACGGUCGCUACCCAAAUGGGACAUUUUGUCAGCCCUUUCGGCGACUUCCCUGGACUGGCAAUGAUGUUAUUAUAAUGAAUUGAAUUAAUUUUAAAUAAGACUUCCCUGGCAUAAUUAUAUUUCGUUUCUGUGUUUCAGAUCAUGCUAAAUUUCACUGAGCAACACAUACGAUGAAGGGUCUGUGUAACCCAGCGUGACGCUACUACAAUCAGCGAUGGCCAAACUGGGACACUACAAACUGGACAACGGAGACCGUACCCCUUCCAGUAUAUUCCCUGUAAAACCUUUGUUUAAGCAGCGUAAAACAGGUCACUGGCUUGUGGCACAGAGGAGCUUGUUAGAGCAUGAAUAUAGAAGAUCACUGAAGAAAAAAUCGCAGGGACUCUUGACAGCUGAGGAGCGUCUAGCUCUUUCAGACAGUACUGAAUUAUUGGGUUCCAGCAAAGUGGAAAAUAGAGGCACUGUUUUAGAUGGAUAUUUUCUUAUGACAUUACAUUGUGUUGACAGGCCUUCUGAGCUGUGCUCUGUUGACAUUAGUGGACAGAAACUAUACUCGGUCAACCUAGAGAACGUGGAGGAAUUUGACAAUGUUGCUUAUAUCAAUGCUUCUGACAAUCGUUUGAACUUAGAAGCUUUCAGUGGGUUUCCAAUCUUAAGGGAGCUGGAACUGUCACUAAACGGCCUACGUAACAUAAUUGUCAAAGAUAGAGACUUUCCACAUCUGGAGACGUUGGAUCUCUCUUACAACAGCCUGUCAAGUGAUGAUAUCUUGGGAAUUAGUAUGCUUCCUUGUCUAAAAAUUCUUCAUCUCACAGGGAAUAAACUUCUGACUCUGCCAGACAUCAUGAGUGUUCCACACCAAGAGUCUUCUCAUUUGAAAUCGGCACAAGAUAGACGAUUUUGUGCCCUUGAGGUUCUGAUGUUAGAUGACAACUGCCUGUCUUCUCCAAGAAUCUUCACCAGCCUUGCCAAUCUGAAAAGGCUACGGCACUUAAACCUGCAGGGCAACAAUAUCAGCAAAGUACCUUACCUGCAGCAGAUAGCAGACUUUGGGGUCAUGGACUUUUUCACAAAGAAACAUAGUAAACAUCCUGCACAAGACAGAGCACCCAGCUUGAAAAAUUAUUCUCAUUUGAAGUUAAUUCAACAAGAACAUGGUGACAGCUGUACUGAUGAACUCCAAAUACCGUUUCCAGAACUCCAGCACCUGAACUUGGCUGACAACAAGAUUGCAGAGGAAGAAGCUCUGCUAGCUGUGGCCCUUUUCCCGUUGCUCAGUGAGCUGGUGAUUCAUUCAAAUCCUCUUACCACACAAAGGAGUGGUGACCCCCCGAUUCUAACAAGCAUUCUUCAGGACCAUCUGGGCAUUCAAAUAGAGCGCAAGAAGACGGAAAUCCCAAUGAAAUCACGUACUAUGGUCUCAGUCAAUCCAAAACGAAAGAUAACCACAAAAAUCCCAAAGGUCCCAAAAUUGCCUUUAUACCUCGAGGCUCCCAGUAAUCCGUCUCCACAUGACAUUGUGUCAGUUGUUGAAAAAAAAACCAAAGACGCAUUCGAGAAGAGUGCUUUCCCCCGAGAAUGUUUGCCACUGCAGUCCUCAAAGCAUCAGGAAGACACUUCUCAAAGUGAAGGCACAGUGAAUCCAGCGGGUGACCACAUGCUGGAAACUUCAGAUCAGACACCCAGAGCUCCGCCAAAUGUGGAAGACAAAGAUGGAAAAGCAUUCUUUAUGACACAGGUGGAUGAUGAACCUAUGCAGCACAUGUUAGAGGUGAAUCAACCAAAACAUGAACAUACACUUCCAGAGCAAUUCAGAGGCUAUGAAAUGCUCUUUGAUGCAAAACCCGACCCUGAUAUGAUUCAGCCAAGAGGAAUUCAACAGACUACCAGAGCCUUGGAACAGGCUCUCAGGAAUCUUCAUGUAAACAGAGAUACCAGUGUGGAUGACAACCACCUUCCAAAGCCAAACAGAGAAAAUAAAAAGGUUGCAAAACCACUAGAAGCAAACACAAGACUGAUAAAAAAAGACAGGGUUGAAGAUUUCCUAAUUAUGAUGAAAGACAGAAAAACGACACAGGAAGUCCAAUUGGACGAAGUUCUUAAAGGGAAGAACGUCAACAAGAAAGAAUAUGAAGAGGCUCUGUCGUUAUUGCAGGACAUAAAGGGGAAAUAUAGGAGUGUUUACAUGAAAGCGAUGGAGCAGGCAAAUCAGGAGCUGCAUGUCCCGUUCCUUCUACAAUGCAUCAUUCCGGUGUGAAUUUUGAAAUCUGUUAUUUUUCCCUGCUUUGCACAUUUUAAGAAGAGACGAUGCAUCCCUGCUAAUGAUAGGCAAAAUGACGCCUCAUCAACCAUUUACGGGAUUUUCUUUUACCUCAAGUUGUGGUUGAGUGGACUGAAAAGAACGGCAGCACCCAGCAGGGAGGCGCGCAUCUCCGGUGAAACUUUGCAAUCUUUUUAAUGACCUGAAGCGGAGUGUCUCAGCGCUUUGGGGGAUUUCUGUCGCAGUUAAAAUCUAAGGAUACUGUACUUUUUUUUUGGCAGC